rnacentral:rRNA from 1 species
GUCCGCACGAGCGCACCCCCUAUCCUUAGUUGCUAGCAGGAUAAUGCUGAGAACUCUAACUUAGACUGCCGUGAUAAACCGGAGGAAGGUGGGGACGACGCUCAAGUUCAUCAUGGCCCUUACGUGUAGGGCUACACACGUGCUACAAUGGCGCAUACAGAGUGCUGCGAACUCGCGAGAGUAAGCGAAUCACUUAAAGUGCGUCGUAGUCCGGAUUGGAGUCUGCAACUCGACUCCAUGAAGUCGGAAUCGCUAGUAAUCGCGUAUCAGAAUGACGCGGUGAAUACGUUCCCGGGCCUUGUACACACCGCCCGUCACACCAUGGGAGUGGGUUGCUCCACAAGUAAUAGUCUAACCCUCGGGAGGACGUUUACCACGGAGUGAUUCUGACUGGGGUGAAGUCGUACCAUAGGUAGCCCUUAGGGGAACCUGGGGCUGGUAUCACCUCCUUU